UCUCAUUCUUAGCUGUGCAACGUUACGCCGCAAGUUGCACACGUUCGACAUUCCUCCGCGUGCCGCUCGCCGAGGGUGCUAAUUGAUUACGCAAGCCAUUCGCUCGAGAAGUUGGAGACCCUUUCGCUCCGGAUCGUAGGGCACGUUCGAUAAGAUGGAUAAAUAAAUGUUAUUUUCAAGAUACGUGGGGAAUUUCGUUUUAAGAAUCCCCUAGGCAGCGCGUAGUUCAAGCGACGACGAGUAUAUACGUCGGAGGGAGGGCAGACUCUCCUGUUAUGAAUUUUACGAAAAAGGAAAGUCUAUGUUCUGAAGCCUGAAUUAUCCUCAAGCUAAUAAACGAGCGUAAAUUCUACGAUACAAUAUGGCAAGACCAUCGGCGAGCCAUCAAGAAAUUAUUCUGGAGAAUGCAACAAUUAACGUUAAUCACCGCUUAAAUGGGUAAAAAGAAGGGCACAAUGGCAAUGGACAAUUAGCCUGUGCGUCUCGCUCCUGGCGCAUGAUCACCGUGCAAACGCUAAGAGCAGGUCUCGCCACUCCUCAUUCGCCGGGUUCUAAUCGACCUUAAUUUCCCCGUGAAACACUAAAUCUACCCUCAAACGGGUUGCCUGGCUAGCCUCAAUAAACCAAGAAGGGAAACGGCUUCGAACACCGAUCAUUACCGUCUCAGUUCAGCUUGCACCGAUCUCAGCUCACCAUGGGCUCGCCUUCGGAUUCCGCAUACUAUUUAUUACAGCGUAACAAUAUCUUUCAUUACCUUUACCUAUAAUAACACCUAUUCAUCUUUGAGAGCCGCUCUCCUUUCCCUGGAACCGUUUCUUUCCAGAGGAAUCCUCGUCGCGAUCCUCCAAUAUCACGCAUACAUAGAGAAAUGGUAGGCAGAGUGAAGGAGAAGAGGAAGAGAAAGAGGAGAAGAAGAAGAAGAAGAUGACGACGAAGGAAGAGAAGAUAGAGGAGGAGGAGGAGGAGGAGGAGGACAGGAGACAACAACGGUUGCUCCUGGACGGAGGACGAAGGAGGGCAAAAGCAGCCACGCCACAGAGGAUGAGGAUUCCCCUCGGCCAGCGAGCAGCGAGAGAAAGAGAGAGGGCCACCCACGUCGAGGGCGCAAAGGCGAUAUUUAGCGGAAGGCAAAUCUCUCUGGGGCCACCCACGUCGGCUCCUUGGUUCGUCGUCGGGGCUACCUUAUUUCAGGGUGCAACCAAGACGGCUGUGUUGCCUCUCUGUGCUACGGUGCGUGAGCCACUAGCACGGUAGACGCGAUACUCCAGGGACGACCGAUCCAGUCACAGUGCCCUGAUUCCUUUCGAUGUUAUCCCGAAUGACAGCCACGAAAUUUGUCGGGUAUCGUUGGACAAGAUAGUAGACCUGAAAAACAGGAUCUUUGCUUGGCCAAACGAUGCGUUUGGAAGAUACAGGUUUCUACGUACACUAUCGUGCGUUGGUGUUUGCACGUUUCCGAAUUGGGAACAAUAAACAGAUACGACACACUGCGAAGAAUUGGCAGCAUUUUGUACAUUUGUAUAUAUUUUGUAUAUACCAGUGUAUAUAUACAGUAGGCUAGGAGUUUUGAAAGCGACAGGUGUGUACAGUAACUUGCUCGGCGAUGUUGAAACACGUCAGUAGUGUACAUGAUGAGGAUAAAGGUUCAUCACGUUGUGCUAGUCAUCGCAUAUGUACGUAUUUUUUCUUUUGCACUAACAUCUUUUGCUUUAUUUACGCGAUUUUCAUUCGCGUAAAACGGAUCCAGUGUACAAUGUUAGUUAACAAGUGUAACUGAGUAACAGAGUGUACAGUGCAUAAACCACCUACUUACUUGCCAACGCACAGUCCAAACCGUUGUACCUAGAAACGUGAAAUUUGGAUGGUAUACAUGUUUUAUGACGUAGGCGUGGGGUAACAUAAAAUUUUUGCAAAUACGAACCCUGGGAAGGAUAAAAAAGGGUAACCUUUUUUUUUUUAAAGGACAUACAUAUCUCACGAGUUGCUGGGAUUAGUCACGUGAAAUUCGACACGCUCACUACUCAUUGAAGGUAAACAAACACGUGUUCGAGCGUUUUUGAAAAUUCAAUUCCUAACGGGUGUUCCAACAGAGGGUAACACAGAAAUUCGAGUAUCAUGUAGCUAGUAUGUUAUAGUAUAUGGCAGCUAGUUGGAAUAAAUAAAAGAGCGAUGAUUGAAGGUGAAUGGAAAUUGUUUCUACAGAUAUCUAAGUUAAAUGAAUUUGAGUUAAGUCUGUUCGAUAUUGUUAACAUCAGCUAUUCAUCACAGAUGAUUAUUACUCGUUUCAGUUUUGAUUUAACAGAAAAUUUGAAGUAGACAUUGAACACUAAAGAAACACUUCUUCUAUUGCAGUGUUGAAAAUGUAUUAAAAAUAUCAGUGUUUCGUUUGGAUUGCUGGAAAUACUUGUGCAGAGUGGUGGACAUAAAUCUUCACUCACGCAAUUAGUAUGGCGCUUAUUUGGCAAUUAGUACAACAAUGUGAAUAUGAACGAGGUAUAUACAGAA